rnacentral:rRNA from 1 species
UACAGAGGCCUCGAGCGUUAGGCGGAAUCGCUGGGCUUAAAGCGUGUGUAGGUGGAUGCCUAAGUACCUUGUGAAAUCCCACAGCUUAACUGUGGAAUUGCUUGGUAUACUGGGUGUCUUGAGCCACUCAGGGGCUACUGGAACAAACGGUGGAGCGGUGAAAUGCGUAGAUAUCGUUUGGAACGCCAAUGGUGAAAACAAGUAGCUGGGGGUGUGCUGACACUGAGACACGAAAGCCAGGGGAGCAAACGGG